UCUGAAUAUCAUUUCUUUUGUCCGUCACCUUUAAUUUUAAUUAUCUUUUCGUAAUCAAACAAAAUCAUGUUAAAUACCAUUCGAUGCAUUGACAAUCAGUGAAUUCGAAUUAGUAAUUACUAUAGAAUGUCUUUUUCGUUUAUUCCCUUUAAUUUUCUAUAUUCUGUUUAUACUAAUUUUUCACUUUUAUUUUCUUUCUCUCUUUUCUGGCCAACAGAAUUUCAUUUGGACGAUAAUCAAGGAAGAUGGAUUAAAAUGAGAAAAAGAUGAUGGCUCUUUGUUACAAUAAUUUCUCUUCAUCUUUCCAUUUUUUUACCUCAAUUUCCCCCCUGUUCUCUCUUAAAUCUAUCUUGAUAUCUUUCUCUCUCUUCCCCUUAUCAUCCCUACGAGCGUGUGCCAUGUUUCAACUAUUAUCAAAGGAGAAGAAGGAAAACAACACAACAAUAAAAGGAUCCAACUUGUCAAAAUCAAGGUCAAUCUCUCCUGGUACCUUUUUGGAGAAAAAGGGCCAGACCCUUAUUACUAUUUACUGAUGUACAUUUAUUAUGGAUGAAAGAAGGAACAAAAAAAGACCCGCCUUCACUUGGAUUUUCGAUCGAUACGAUUUUUGGUUUUCUUCUGCUUCCUCGAGACCGUUAAGCCAUCUUUGAUUAGUCAACUAAGCUGUGCAAUGUUUUGAAGCUUUUCAUCUUGAUCAUCAUCAUCACCCCAUGGAUAUGGAACCAGAAGAAAGAUUUAGGUUGGAAAAGUUUAUUUGUCACCAAGAACAGAAAUAUGUUUCCAUUAAAAGUCGGAGUCUAUUGGCCAGUUAUCGUUAUAUUGCAAUUUGAAUAAACAUCUUCACGAAUUUACAAUCCUAUGGGAUAAUUAAGGGAUAAUUUUGCAAAAGAAAAACAAUAAACAAUUUCUUAUGCAUAUGAGAAAGAAAACAAAGUAAGAAUAUUGUUUCUCUUUUCUUAUUAUUGGUUUUUCUUGAUGUUUAAUCUCAUCGGAAAUUUGAUGAUCCAAUCAAAUAUUUACAAAUAUAGAGGAAAUUUCAUCAUCUAUCUGCUUCGAAACUUGUUUACCAGUUAUUAUCAUGGAUUUUGAUUAUUUCAUCUCUUUAAAGUGAUGAGAAAAUGAGUUUACCUUAGACUUGGAUCCUUGGACUUUGGUCAAACAAAAAUUUCUCUCGUUCAUCAGCUGAUUGUUUAUUCAAUCGAAAGGUUUAGAAAUUCAACCAUUUACCAAUAUCGAUUGACGAAAAUUAUCAAUCCAAGAGAAUAGAUUUUAAUUGUUACUCUUAAUUGACCAUUUUCACCUUAAAUAAUAACAAUAACUCGAUGUAAUCAUAAAGAUUGAUCGGUUUUAAUUUUGUUUCUACCUUUAGGUUGUUGAUGCGAUGAGUCAGAUGGAUAACAAGAUGUCCACCUAUGGUCAACUAUCUGCUCGAAAAGAAAGGAAAAUAAACAGAGAGUAAGAUGAAAGUUACUCUCAUUACUCCAGUUAUCAAAUUAAUCAAUGAAUGCGCUUAUCGGUGUGCGUCCAUAACAAUCGCUUCGCCGGACGUGUUAACGGUUUUGAUGAAUUUAUUUAUAAAAUGAACUCUCCCUAAACAGCGGUAACAACAGAAGUAAACAUCUCGAAAGAGG